rnacentral:rRNA from 1 species
AUUGAACGCUGGCGGCAGGCUUAACACAUGCAAGUCGAACGAGUGGCGGACGGGUGAGUAAUGCUUGGGCAUCUAGCUUAUGGAGGGGGAUAACUACGGGAAACUUUAGCUAAUACAGCUUCCCAUAGGAUGAGCUCAAGCUGGAUGAGGUAGUUGGUGAGGUAAAGGAUCACCAAGCCGACGAACGCUAGCUGGUCUGAGCGGAUGACCAGCCAUACUGGGACGGAGAUACGGCCCAGACUCCGACGGGAGGCAGCAGUGGGGAAUAUGGCGCAAUGGGGGCAACCUGACGCAGCCAUGCCGCGUGAAUGAAGAAGGCCGUCGGUUUGUAAAGUUCUUUCGGUAGCGAGGCGUUAACUACAGAAGAAGAACCGGCUAACUCCGUGCCAGCAGCCGCGGUAAUAC